AUUGAACGCUGGCGGCAGGCCUAACACAUGCAAGUCGAACGAGUGGCGGACGGGUGAGUAAUGUUUGGGAAUCUAGCUUAUGGAGGGGGAUAACUACGGUAAACUGUAGCUAAUACCGCUUACCAUAGGCUGAGCCCAAGUGGGAUGAGGUAGUUGGUGAGGUAAAGGCUCACCAAGCCGACGAUCUCUAGCUGGUCUGAGAUGGUGACCGGCCACACUGGGACGGAGAAACGGCCCAGACUCCUACGGGAGGCAGCAGUAGGGAAUCUUGCGCAAUGGGGGAAACCUGACGGAGCCAUGCCGCGUGAAUGAAGAAGGCCUUCGGAUCGUAAAGUUCUUUCGGUAGCGAAGCGUUAACUAAAGAGAAAGCAACGGCUAACUCCGUGCCAGCAGCCGCGGUAAUAC
rnacentral:rRNA from 1 species